rnacentral:rRNA from 1 species
GACGAACGCUGGCGGCGUGCUUAACACAUGCAAGUCGAACGGAAAGGCCCUGCUUUUGUGGGGUGCUCGAGUGGCGAACGGGUGAGUAACACGUGAGUAACCUGCCCUUGACUUUGGGAUAACUUCAGGAAACUGGGGCUAAUACCGGAUAGGAGCUCCUGCUGCAUGGUGGGGGUUGGAAAGUUUCGGCGGUUGGGGAUGGACUCGCGGCUUAUCAGCUUGUUGGUGGGGUAGUGGCUUACCAAGGCUUUGACGGGUAGCCGGCCUGAGAGGGUGACCGGCCGCAUUGGGACUGAGAUACGGCCCAGACUCCUACGGGAGGCAGCAGUGGGGAAUAUUGCACAAUGGGCGGAAGCCUGAUGCAGCAACGCCGCGUGCGGGAUGACGGCCUUCGGGUUGUAAACCGCUUUCGCCUGUGACGAAGCGUGAGUGACGGUAAUGGGGAAAGAAGCACCGGCUAACUACGU